rnacentral:rRNA from 1 species
AAAGGAAUUGACGGGGGCCCGCACAAGCGGAGGAACAUGUGGUUUAAUUCGAUGAUACGCGAGGAACCUUACCUGGGCUUAAAUGGGGAGUGACAGCUGCUGAAAGGUGGUUUUCUUCGGACACUCUCCAAGGUGCUGCAUGGUUGUCGUCAGCUCGUGCCGUGAGGUGUCGGGUUAAGUCCCAUAACGAGCGCAACCCUUACUGUUAGUUGCCAGCGCGUCAAGGCGGGGACUCUAGCGGGACUGCCACCGUAAGGUGAGAGGAAGGUGGGGAUGACGUCAAAUCAGCACGGCCCUUAUGUCCAGGGCUACACACGUGUUACAAUGGCCGGUACAAAGGGCAGCUACACCGCGAGGUGAUGCUAAUCUCCAAAGCCGGUCCCAGUUCGGAUCGAAGUCUGCAACCCGACUUCGUGAAGUUGGAUUCGCUAGUAAUCGCGCAUCAGCCAUGGCGCGGUGAAUACGUUCCCGGGCCUUGUACACACCGCCCGU